AGAGUUUGAUCCUGGCUCAGAUUGAACGCUGGCGGCACGCUUAACACAUGCAAGUCGGACGAGUGAGUAGAUUUGGGAUUUAUUCCAGAUUUACAAGCUAGUGGCGGACGGGUGAGUAAUGCGUAGGAACCUGCCCUGAAGAGGGGGAUAACCCGGGGAAACUCGGGCUAAAACCGCAUAAUCUCUAAGGAGCAAAGCUGCCUUACCAACUUAAUAUAUUUGGUUAAGAUAUAUUAAGUGGUAAGGUGGUACUUUAGGAGGGGCCUACGUUGGAUUAGCUUGUUGGUAGGGUAAAGGCCUACCAAGGCGAUGAUCUAUAGCUGGUCUGAGAGGAUGAUCAGCCACACUGGGACUGAGACACGGCCCAGACUCCUACGGGAGGCAGCAGUGGGGAAUAUUGGACAAUGGGGGCAACCCUGAUCCAGCGAUGCCGCGUGUGUGAAGAAGGCCUGCGGGUUGUAAAGCACUUUUAAUGGUGAGGAAGUGGGCGCUAUAAAUAGUAGCGCCUAAUGACGUUAGCCAUAGAAUAAGCACCGGCAAACUCUGUGCCAGCAGCCGCGGUAAUACAGAGGGUGCGAGCGUUAAUCGGAAUGACUGGGCGUAAAGGGCACGUAGGCGGUUUAUCAAGUUAGAUGUGAAAUACCAGGGCUUAACCUUGGGGCUGCAUCUAAGACUGAUAAACUAGAGUUCACUAGAGGGGAGUGGAAUUUCCGGUGUAGCGGUGAAAUGCGUAGAUAUCGGAAGGAACACCAGUGGCGAAGGCGACUCUCUGGAGUUGAACUGAUGCUGAGGAGCGAAAGCGUGGGGAGCGAACAGGAUUAGAUACCCUGGUAGUCCACGCUGUAAACGAUGAGAACUAGCUGUUGGUACGCGACGACGUAUAAGUAGCGCAGUUAACGCGAUAAGUUCUCCGCCUGGGGAUUACGGCCGCAAGGCUAAAACUCAAAGGAAUUGACGGGGGCCCGCACAAGCGGUGGAGCAUGUGGUUUAAUUCGAUGCAACGCGAAGAACCUUACCUACUUUUGACAUCUAUGGGAUCCUGUAGAGAUAUUGGAGUGCCAGAAAUGGAGCCAUAAGACAGGUGCUGCAUGGCUGUCGUCAGCUCGUGUCGUGAGAUGUUGGGUUAAGUCCCGUAACGAGCGCAACCCCUAUCCUUAGUUGCCAGCGCGUAAUGGCGGGGACUCUAAGGAGACUGCUGGUGAUAAGCCGGAGGAAGGUGGGGACGACGUCAAGUCAUCAUGGCCUUUAUAAGUAGGGCUACACACGUGCUACAAUGGGCAGUACAGAGGGAGGCGAAGCCGUAAGGUGGAGCGGAACUCAGAAAGCUGUUCGUAGUCCGGAUUGGAGUCUGCAACUCGACUUCAUGAAGUUGGAAUCGCUAGUAAUCGCGAAUCAGAAUGUCGCGGUGAAUACGUUCCCGGGCCUUGUACACACCGCCCGUCACACCAUGGGAGUGGGUUGUACCAGAAGUGGUUAGUCUAACCUUCGGGAAGGCGAUCACCACGGUAUGAUUCGUGACUGGGGUGAAGUCGUAACAAGGUA
rnacentral:rRNA from 1 species